AUGAAGGAUCGCUGGAUCAACAUGGGCUCUGAUGAAGACGCACUGAAGCCCUUCAUCGAGCCGGAGCUGGACAUCAGAGACCAGAAGAGGAUAGGUACACAGCUCAGACUCUUCAUACAGUACUCGCAGUACAAGUACACAGCUCAGACUCUUCAUACAGUACUCGCAGUACAAGUACACAGCUCAGACUCUUCAUACAGUACUCGCAGUACAAGUACACAGCUCAGACUCUUCAUACAGUACUCGCAGUACAAGUACACAGCUCAGACUCUUCAUGCAGUACUCGCAGUACAAGUACACAGCUCAGACUCUUCAUACAGUACUCGCAGUACAAGUACACAGCUCAGACUCUUCAUACAGUACUCGCAGUACAAGUACACAGCUCAGACUCUUCAUACUGUACUCGCAGUACAAGUACACAGCUCAGACUCUUCAUACAGUACUCGCAGUACAAGUACACAGCUCAGACUCUUCAUACAGUACUCGCAGUACAAGUACACAGCUCAGACUCUUCAUACAGUACUCGCAGUACAAGUACACAGCUCAGACUCUUCAUACAGUACUCGCAGUACAAGUACACAGCUCAGACUCUUCAUGCAGUACUCGCAGUACAAGUACACAGCUCAGACUCUUCAUACAGUACUCGCAGUACAAGUACACAGCUCAGACUCUUCAUACAGUACUCGCAGUACAAGUACACAGCUCAGACUCUUCAUACAGUACUCGCAGUACAAGUACACAGCUCAGACUCUUCAUACAGUACUCGCAGUACAAGUACACAGCUCAGACUCUUCAUACAGUACUCGCAGUACAAGUACACAGCUCAGACUCUUCAUACUGUACUCGCAGUACAAGUACACAGCUCAGACUCUUCAUACAGUACUCGCAGUACAAGUACACAGCUCAGACUCUUCAUACAGUACUCGCAGUACAAGUACGCAGCUCAGACUCUUCAUACAGUACUCGCAGUACAAGUACGCAGCUCAGACUCUUCAUACAGUACUCGCAGUACAAGUACACAGCUCAGACUCUUCAUACAGUACUCGCAGUACAAGUACGCAGCUCAGACUCUUCAUACAGUACUCGCAGUACAAGUACGCAGCUCAGACUCUUCAUACAGUACUCGCAGUACAAGUACACAGCUCAGACUCUUCAUACAGUACUCGCAGUACAAGUACGCAGCUCAGACUCUUCAUACAGUACUCGCAGUACAAGUACGCAGCUCAGACUCUUCAUACAGUACUCGCAGUACAAGUACGCAGCUCAGACUCUUCAUACAGUACUCGCAGUACAAGUACGCAGCUCAGACUCUUCAUACAGUACUCGCAGUACAAGUACGCAGCUCAGACUCUUCAUACAGUACUCGCAGUACAAGUACGCAGCUCAGACUCUUCAUACAGUACUCGCAGUACAAGUACACAGCUCAGACUCUUCAUACAGUACUCGCAGUACAAGUACGCAGCUCAGACUCUUCAUACAGUACUCGCAGUACAAGUACGCAGCUCAGACUCUUCAUACAGUACUCGCAGUACAAGUACGCAGCUCAGACUCUUCAUACAGUACUCGCAGUACAAGUACACAGCUCAGACUCUUCAUACAGUACUCGCAGUACAAGUACACAGCUCAGACUCUUCAUACAGUACUCGCAGUACAAGUACACAGCUCAGACUCUUCAUACAGUACUCGCAGUACAAGUACACAGCUCAGACUCUUCAUACAGUACUCGCAGUACAAGUACACAGCUCAGACUCUUCAUACAGUACUCGCAGUACAAGUACACAGCUCAGACUCUUCAUACAGUACAAGUACACAGCUCAGACUCUUCAUAAAGUACUUUCAGUACAAGUACACAGCUCAGACUCUUCAUACAGUACUCGCAGUACAAGUACACAGCUCCGACUCUUCAUACAGUACAAGUACACAGCUCAGACUCUUCAUACUGUACUCGCAGUACAAGUACACAGCUCAGACUCUUCAUACAGUACUCGCAGUACAAGUACACAGCUCAGACUCUUCAUACAGUACUCGCAGUACAAGUACACAGCUCAGACUCUUCAUACAGUACUCGCAGUACAAGUACACAGCUCAGACUCUUCAUACAGUACUCGCAGUACAAGUACACAGCUCAUACCUUUAACUAUGUGA
rnacentral:lncRNA from 1 species